rnacentral:rRNA from 1 species
GACAGAGGGUGCAAACGUUGCUCGGAAUUAUUGGGCGUAAAGGGUAGGUAGGUGGUCUCAUUUGUCCGGGGUGAAAGCCUUGAGCUUAACUCAAGAAGUGCCCCGGAAACGGUGAGACUGGAGUCUUGGAGAGGGUCGUGGAAUUCCCGGUGUAGCGGUGAAAUGCGUAGAGAUCGGGAGGAACACCAGAGGCGAAAGCGGCGACCUGGACAAGUACUGACACUCAACUACGAAAGCGUGGGGAGCAAACAGG